CCUCCAUCUUCUCCCCACAACAACAACCCUGUGAGGAAGAAGUGUGGCUUUCUCUCAGGCGUGCCUAGAAUUGCUGCUGGUUGGGUUGGACCUGGCUGGGUUGCUGCUGCUGCUGCAUGCACCGCAGAGGCUGGAUGGAACAAGCAGGCGCUGCUCCUCUCCCGGCUGAGUCCCGCUCCUUGCCCGCUGGCCCUCCCUGGCCUGCUGCUGUGGGUGUUGGUUCUCUCCAUCUCUCCUAUAUACUUCUAGCCAUGGGGGUCUUGCAGAGGGGCUGGAGGAGUUUCCUCUGCUGCCUCCAAUAAACACCUUGAACCAG